rnacentral:rRNA from 1 species
CCUACGGGUGGCUGCCGAGAAUAUUCCGCAAUGGGCGAAAGCCUGACGGAGCGACGCCGCGUGAUUGAUGAGGCAUUUCGGUGUGUAAAGAUCUUUUAUGAGGGAAGAAAUUUUUGACGGUACCUCAGGAAUAAGGGGCUCCUAAUCUCGUGCCAGCAGGAGCGGUAAUACGAGAGCCCCAAGCAUUAUCCGGAAUUAUUGGGCGUAAAGGGUGCGCAGGUGGCGGUGUUAGUCUUUUGUUAAAACCCCGGGCUUAACCUGGGAGGGGCAGAAGAAACGGCAUCGCUAGAGAGUAUGAGAGGCGUGCGGAACUCAUGGUGUAGGGGUGAAAUCCGUUGAUAUCAUGGGGAACACCGAAAGCGAAGGCAGCACGCUGGCAUAUUUCUGACGCUCAUGCACGAAAGCGUAGGUAGCGAAUGGGAUUAGAUACCCCGGUAGUC